GCUUAGCUGUCUCCUCUUUCAAGUCAAUGAAAUUGAUCUGCCCGUGCAGAAGCGGACAUAAGCACAUAAGACGAGAAGACCCUAUGGAGCUUUAGACACCAGGCAGAUCACGUCAAACAACCUUGAAUUAACAAGUAAAAACGCAGUGACCCCUAGCCCAUAUGUCUUUGGUUGGGGCGACCGCGGGGGAAAAUUAAGCCCCCAUGUGGACUGGGGGCACUGCCCCCACAGCCAAGAGCCACAGCUCUAAGCACCAGAAUAUCUGACCAAAAAUGAUCCGGCAAACGCCGAUCAACGGACCGAGUUACCCUAGGGAUAA
rnacentral:rRNA from 1 species